CAUGUCACUCAAACCAGCUGUAUUAAGGAAGGUGCAAGCUUUUGGGAUUUCUGUUUGGAUUUAGUUUAGGUUCAAAAGAGCACGCACAGAUCCUGAGUGUUGUCAAGCACCCGUGACUGGGAAACGGAGGCGUCCGAUCCGUAUUGGAGUCAAUUCGCCACUUAAUUGAACACAGCCUCGAAGGGAAGGGCCAUAUUUGUGGGCCUGUCUAACAAUUAAGAGUGACCACAUGGAAUGGGGGAUGAAAGGGUUAAAGAAGAACAAAUAUUGAACACAGCUUUUCUAUGAACAAACUGCAGGCAGCUGCUGCUUUGCAAGGGGAACUUCUUGGCUGCCAUUUCUGGAUGUCAAGGCUGCAGAUACACUGGUCAGGACCCUGGGUAGAGAGAGAUGCGUCAGAAUGCGGCUCCUUUCAGAAAGGCUUCUCCGGAGGUCAGCACUCGGGCAAAAGGCUGUGUGUGAUGUGUUUGGGAACACAAAGGGAAGCAGUUGAUUGAGAAUAAUGGUUCUGUUUUGGAGGUUGAUGGAAGAUGCCCUUUGGCCAGGAAAACAGCUCAUGCUUUUAGAGGAGGAUAAUUGCCAGAAGGCCUCUCUGAAUAAAAAAAAAUCCUGACCUCACAGCCUUUGCGCUUACUUGGGUUAGAAUGCCACAGUGAACAUUGCCCCUUGUCAUCACGUAGAGGUGCUCACAGGUAAAGCAACACAAGGAGCAUAUAGGAUCACCUGCUGGAUCUUGUUUUUAACACCAGGGAGGAAAAUGGUGUCUUGGGUAAUGAACAUGCCUCAAGACUGAGCUGGCCAUCUUCAGUGUCAUCCAAACCCUCAGUGGCCCCUGAAAAACCCUUUGAAAAGAUUCAGCACGUUGCCAUGGAGAACAUCCCACUGAAGGAAUGUAUAGAAGUAGCAGGUGUCAGCUGCCUACCAGUUGCUUUCAUCUCUAGAAAUCUGUGACUUGCAGUAUGACAAGAACAAAAGGUGACAAUACAAAGGACAAAGGGCAAGGAAUACAGACGGAGAAGCCGCUUAGAGUCUAGGAUGGCAGAGGUUCUCUUGAUCAUUUCAUUUUUGAGCGCUUGUAGAGCUUUGGUGUACCAGAGGUGCUUGAACAGCUUACCACACCACAGAUGAAUGGCCUUUGGAUUUCUCCUAAGAAAAUGUGGCUACCUGAAAUUCAACUCCAUUUUCUGGUCUUCAAUAUUUCUUUUGUGUUCAGUUUGCCAGCUGAGGAGAAGUGGCUAAGCAUAGCCUGUUACUGAUGCUAAAGCCCAAGUUCUGAACCUAACAACUCCAGCAACAUGAUCCUGUUUCAAGAGACAAAAAAGUGACUAA
rnacentral:lncRNA from 1 species